rnacentral:lncRNA from 1 species
ACAGUGGUUUGUGUUUGGCCAAACAGGCAUUCAGCAGGUCUUCUGGCAGGCGUCCAUUCAGAAGCAGUGCCCAUAGGAGGUGGGAAAGGGAAACGGAGGCACACCCAAGCCCUGUUUGUCUGAAGGUCAAACCAGCAUAAACUGCUGAACUGGCCGUUUCAUGCCUGUUUCUGCUCACAGAUUCACGGAGAUCUUAUGUCUUAUCUGUAAUUUCUCUCUCUCUCUUUUUAAUCUUUGGGAACUUCAUUUUCUCUCUGUAUGCAGCAAAGAACACCGUGUCCGGACAUUUAGAGGAGGUGUUAGUGACAAGCUUAUUUUUUUUUAACUGCCAGCCUAUCUGGACACAUAGUUCUUCAACUACCAGUGGAUGUCCCACAAUUUGGUUGUUUGUUUCCCUCUCCCCCCCCUUGCCAUUCCCUGCUUAUCAUCACCGUUCUUCUGAGAGAUAUAAAUAAAGGGUUUUGGAAGUCUCAUUUCUGCCACCCUUGGAAAAGGAAAGGCCCUAUUGGAUCCAGUUUUUUAAGCCAUGAAGACCUUCCUCCUCCAUCUUCUUUGUUUGAUGUUAACCAUGUUGACUUUCUCAGAGUCGACCCACCGGCCCCCUCGGCAAUGCCAUGGCACUUGCAAGGCUGUCUGUUCAAGUAGGGAAUACAAGUCUCUGUCAAAAACGUGCCGCAUUCCUGGAUGGUCCUAUUGCUGCAAACGGAAAGGAUAUUUAGUUCCUGUGAAACCAGAUUGUAUUGGUACAUGCAAGCUCAGAUGUUCGCGAGAUGAAUAUGAAGUCACAAAAAUGAUCUGCCAAUAUUUUGACCAUGUCUAUUGCUGCAAACGAAGAGGCUAUAAGAAAAUAUAUUAGGGGAGAGAAUCCUGCCACUCCUGCAAGACGGAAUUCACUUUCUUCAUCAAUUGUGUGGGUUAGUGCUUUAGAAGAAGCGUUUGAACUCCCAAAAACAGCUUCCUGUUUUUAUAGCAAUGCCCUUUGACCUUCUGCUCUUAAUAAAAGCCAA